CUUUCCGUUUUGGAAUAUCUCUUUCAAAGAUGACCAAGGACAUGUUACAAUUGUUGUAAAAAGGAAAAAUCACAAAAAAAAAAAAAAAAAAAAAAAAAAAAUGAACUCCGAGGAAAUCUCAAAAGGGAAAGUACUUAUAUAUACCACAUGAAAGUCCCUAUAUACUACUUGAAAGUCUCUAUGUGCACAUGAAAGUCCCUUCAUACCACAUAUUAGUCCCUAUAUACCACAUGUUAGUCCCUUUAUACCACAUUUUAGUCCCUAUAUAUCACUUGUUAGUCCCUAUAUACCACUUUUUAGUCCCUAUAUACCAUUUUUUUGUCCUUAUAUACCACUUGUUAGUCCCUAUAUACCACAUGUUAGUCCC
rnacentral:lncRNA from 1 species